rnacentral:rRNA from 1 species
AUUGAACGCUGGCGGCAGGCCUAACACAUGCAAGUCGAGCGGCAGCGGGAAGUAGCUUGCUACUUUGCCGGCGAGCGGCGGACGGGUGAGUAAUGUCUGGGAAACUGCCUGAUGGAGGGGGAUAACUACUGGAAACGGUAGCUAAUACCGCAUAAUGUCGCAAGACCAAAGAGGGGGACCUUCGGGCCUCUUGCCAUCAGAUGUGCCCAGAUGGGAUUAGCUAGUAGGUGGGGUAACGGCUCACCUAGGCGACGAUCCCUAGCUGGUCUGAGAGGAUGACCAGCCACACUGGAACUGAGACACGGUCCAGACUCCUACGGGAGGCAGCAGUGGGGAAUAUUGCACAAGGGGCGCAAGCCUGAUGCAGUCAUGCCGCGUGUAUGAAGAAGGCCUUCGGGUUGUAAAGUACUUUCAGCGGGGAGGAAGGUGUUGAGGUUAAUAACCUCAGCAAUUGACGUUACCCGCAGAAGAAGCACCGGCUAACUCCGUGCCAGCCGCCGCCGUAAUAC